rnacentral:rRNA from 1 species
UCAAGCUGGAAAGAGCGCAAGGGGAAUGCCUUGGCAUCAGGAGCCGAAGAAGGACGUGACAAGCUGCGAAAAGCCUCGGGGAGGAGCAAAUAUCCAUUGAUCCGGGGAUAUCCGAAUGGGGCAACCCGGCUGGACAAUAUCCAGUCAUCCUGCGUUGAACAAAAUAGGCGUAGGAAGGGAACCGCCUGAACUGAAACAUCUAAGUAGGGCGAGGAAGAGACAUCAACCGAGAUUCCGCAAGUAGUGGCGAGCGAACGCGGAAGAGGCCAAACCGAGGGAUUUAUUCCUCGGGGUUGCGGACAGUCAUUUAGCGGAAGUUAUCUAGGAGAAGGGUCUGGGAAGGCCCGCCACAGAGGGUGAGAGCCCCGUAUCCGAAAGAGAAGGCCGUGCGACUGAAUCCAGAGUACCGCGGGACACGUGAAACCCCGUGGGAAACAGGGGGGACCACCCUCCAAGCCUAAAUACUACCUGAUGACCGAUAGAGGAGCAGUACCGUGAGGGAAAGGUGAAAAGGACCCCGGGAGGGGAGUGAAAGAGAACCUGAAACCUUGUGCUUACAAGCUGUCAAAGCACGUUAACGUGUGAUGGCGUACUUUUUGUAGAACGGUCCGGCGAGUUAUAGUAACGAGCGAGCUUAAGGCAUUCAGUGCCGGAGGCGAAGCGAGAGCGAGUCUGAAUAGGGCGUAAAGUUCGUUGCCAUAGACCCGAAACCGGGUGACCUACCCAUGAGCAGGUUGAAGUGGGGGUGAAACCCCAUGGAGGACCGAACCGACCCCCGUUGCAAUGGUGGCGGAUGACUUGUGGGUAGCGGUGAAAUUCCAAUCGAACUCGGAGAUAGCUGGUUCUCCCCGAAAUAGCUUUAGGGCUAGCGUUAUGUUAGAUUACCGGAGGUAAAGCACUGAAUGGUAGCGGGGCCGAUAAGGUUACCAACGCCUAUCAAACUAAGAAUGCCGGCUAAUUGAUGCAUAGCAGUCAGACAGUGUGAGAUAAGUUUCAUUGUCAAAAGGGAAACAGCCCAGACCUACAGCUAAGGUCCCGAAUAGAUGCUAAGUGGAAAACGAUGUGGAGUUGCGAAAACAACCAGGAUGUUGGCUUAGAAGCAGCCACUCAUUAAAAGAGUGCGUAAUAGCUCACUGGUCGAGUGACUCUGCGCGGAAAAUAUAACGGGGCUAAGCGUAACACCGAAGCUUGGGCUGCACAGCAAUGUGCGGGGUAGGGGAGCGUCGAAUAUGGGGUGAAGUCGCAGCGGAAGCAGCGGUGGACUGUAUUCGAGUGAGAAUGCCGGAAUGAGUAGCGAGAAUUAUGUGGGAAUCAUAAUGGCCGAAAAUCUAAGGUUUCUUGGGGAAGGUUCGUCCGCCCAAGGUAAGCCGGGAGCUAAGGCGAGGCCGAAAGGCGUAGUCGAUGCACAUACGGUAGAAAUUCCGUAGCCACCGAACUUUAAGUCAGAGGGACACUUUUGGAUAGCGGAACCCGGGCGUUGGUUGACCCGGGCGAAAGGGAGCGAAAAUAUAGUAGCGAAGUCCGCGAUGCUGAGAGGCGAGAAAAGCUCUGAUGGAUACUAAGGUGCCCGUACCGCAAACCGACACAGGUAGAUGAGGAGAGAAUCCUAAGGCCAACGGGAGAAGGGUUGUUAAGGAACUCGGCAAGUUGACCCCGUAACUUCGGAAUAAGGGGAGCCUCGAAAGAGGCCGCAGUGAAAAGGCCCAAGCAACUGUUUACCAAAAACACAGGUCUAUGCUAAAUCGAAAGAUGACGUAUAUGGGCUGACGCCUGCCCGGUGCCGGAAGGUUAAGAGGAGAUGUCAGCGCAAGCGAAGCAUUGAAUUGAAGCCCCGGUAAACGGCGGCCGUAACUAUAACGGUCCUAAGGUAGCGAAAUUCCUUGUCGGGU